UACGUAGGGCGCAAGCGUUGUCCGGAAUUAUUGGGCGUAAAGAGCUCGUAGGCGGUCUGUUACGUCCGCUGUGAAAACCCAGGGCUUAACCCUGGGCUUGCAGUGGAUACGGGUAGACUAGAGGCAGGUAGGGGAGUGUGGAAUUCCCGGUGUAGCGGUGAAAUGCGCAGAUAUCAGGAGGAACACCGGUGGCGAAGGCGGAUCUCUGGGCCAUUACUGACGCUGAGGAGCGAAAGCGUGGGGAGCAAACAGG
rnacentral:rRNA from 1 species